rnacentral:rRNA from 1 species
CCUACGGGUGGCAGCAGUAGGGAAUUUUUCACAAUGGGCGAAAGCCUGAUGGAGCAACGCCGCGUGCAGGAUGAAGGCCUUCGGGUUGUAAACUGCUUUUAUAAGCGAGAAAUAUGAUGGUAACUUAUGAAUAAGGAUCGGCUAACUACGUGCCAGAAGCCGCGGUCAUACGUAGGAUCCGAGCAUUAUCCGGAGUGACUGGGUGUAAAGAGUUGCGUAGGUGGCAUAAUAAGUAGCUAGUGAAAUCUGGUGGCUCAACCAUUCAGACUAUUAGCUAAACUGUUAAGCUCGAGACCGUUAGGGGUAACUGGAAUUUCUAGUGUAGGAGUGAAAUCCGUAGAUAUUAGAAGGAACACCAAUAGCGUAGGCAGGUUGCUGGGACGGUUCUGACACUAAGGCACGAAAGCGUAGGGAGCAAACGGGAUUAGAUACCCCUGUAGUC